rnacentral:RNase_P_RNA from 1 species
UAAGUAGGACAAAUGGUCGCAGCUGCCUUCGGGCAGGUGAGGAAAGUCCGGGCUUCACAGGGCAGGAUGCCGGAUAACGUCCGGUGGAGGUGACUCCAAGGAUAGUGCAACAGAAAUAUACCGCCUGCGGGCAAUGCCGGCAGGUAAGGUUGGAAGGGCAGUGUAAGAGACUACCGCCUUUCUGGUAACAGGAAGGGCAUAUGUAAACCCCAUCCGAAGCAAAACCAAACAGAAAACAAUCUGGCGGCCCGUCAGGUUUUCAGGUAGGUUGCUUGAGGCAUCUGGCAACAGAUGCCCUAGAUAGAUGACCAUUCACGACAGAACCCGGCUUACCGUCCUGCUUACUUU